rnacentral:rRNA from 1 species
CCUACGGGGGGCAGCAGUGAGGAAUAUUGGUCAAUGGACGCAAGUCUGAACCAGCCAUGCCGCGUGCAGGAAGACGGCUCUAUGAGUUGUAAACUGCUUUUGUACGAGGGUAAACGCAGAUACGCGUAUCUGUCUGAAAGUAUCCUACGAAUAAGGAUCGGCUAACUCCGUGCCAGCAGCCGCGGUAAUACGGAGGAUUCAAGCGUUAUCCGGAUUUAUUGGGUUUAAGGGGUGCGUAGGGGGUCGGAUAAGUCAGCGGUCAAAUUUUGGGGCUCAACCCCGGCCUGCCGUGGAAACUGGGGGCUUGGAGUGGGCGAGAAGUAUGCGGAAGGCGUGGUGAAGCGGUGAAAUGCAUAGAUAUCACGCAGAACUCCGAUGGCGAAGGCAGCAUACCGGGGCCCGACUGACGCGGAGGCACGAAAGCGUGGGUAUCGAACAGGAUUAGAUACCCCUGUAGUC